rnacentral:rRNA from 1 species
GACGAACGCUGGCGGCGUGCCUAAUACAUGCAAGUCGAACGCAGUGGGGACGGGUGAGUAACACGUGGGUAACCUCCCAUCAGAGGGGAUAACCCUUGGAAACAGGUGCUAAACCGAUACUGAUGGAUGGAACCGCGGUGCAGUAGCUAGUUGGUGGGGUAACGGCUCACCAAGGCCACGAGGCAUAGCCGACCUGAGAGGGGGAUCGGCACCACGGGGACUGAGACACGGCCCAGACUCCUACGGGAGGCAGCAGUAGGGAAGCUUCGGCAAUGGACGAAAGUCUGACCGAGCAACGCCGCGUGAGUGAAGAAGGUUUUCGGAGCGUAAAACUCUGUUGUUAGAGAAGCGGUAUCUAACCAGAAAGCCACGGCUAACUACGUGCCAGCCGCCGCGGUAAUUC